rnacentral:rRNA from 1 species
UACGUAGGGUGCAAGCGUUGUCCGGAAUUAUUGGGCGUAAAGAGCUCGUAGGCGGUUUGUCGCGUCUGCUGUGAAAACUCGGGGCUUAACUCCGGGCCUGCAGUGGGUACGGGCAGACUAGAGUGCGGUAGGGGAGAAUGGAAUUCCCGGUGUAGCGGUGAAAUGCGCAGAUAUCGGGAGGAACACCGGUGGCGAAGGCGGUUCUCUGGGCCUUACCUGACGCUGAGGAGCGAAAGCGUGGGGAGCGAACAGG